rnacentral:lncRNA from 1 species
UCAGAGUUUUGGAAAAUGCUUCAGGAGCCAGAGGAGCAGGCUACAGGAACAGAGGAAGCACAGGCAGGGGAACAGGACCUGAACCAUGAGGCUGCAGCAGACCCAGCUCCAGCCCCUCCCACUGAUUUUCAGAAUAAUGUGCAGGUCAAACUCAUCCGGAGUCCUGCAGAUUUGAUUCGAUUGAUCGAGGAGCUAAAAGGUGCAGAAAAGGGGAAGCCAAGCGUAAGGCAGGAGCAGCCUGGAGAUGAUACCACAGAGGCCCCGCAGAGGGAAGCGGAGGCGAAGGGAAAGGGUGGUGAACCCCGGGGUCUCGUGGAAGAAGAGGAUGGUGACGAGGAGGAGGAGGACGAGGACGAGGAUGAGCAGCAGCUCCUGGGAGAGUUCGAGAAGGAGUUGGAGGGGAUGCUGCUGCCCUCGGACCGAGAGCGCCUGCGCUCAGAGGUUAAGGCUGGCAUGGAGCGCGAGCUGGAAAACAUCAUCCAGGAGACAGAGAAGGAACUGGACCCAGAAGGGCUGAGGAAGGAGUCUGAGCGGGAGCAGGCAAUAUUGGCUCUGACAUCCACUCUGGACAAACUCAUCAAGAGGCUGCAGGAGAGCCAGAGUCCAGAGCUUGUCCAGAAAUACAAGAAAAGGAGAGUUGUCCCUCAAAAGCCUCCCCCAUCACCGCACCCUACAGGUGAGAGCCUGUGCUUCCUCUCCCUCCCUCGGGAGCACUGUGCAGUGUCAGCUCCUCCCCCCACUGUCCUCCCUGCAGACACACCUCAUAGCCAGCCUUCUGGA